UGAUUGAAUCUGAAAGAAAAAUGUAUGAGGUCAGAAGCAUUUUCAUAGCAAACUUUAAAUUUCCUUUGGUGCAAUAUGGCAGAGAGGUGACUAGCCUGUCUGCCACAUGUUCCUACGGCAACUUUGCAAACAGUCAGUCACCAGAGCUUUUUUUUUUUUUUUUUUAAAUAAAGUCUUGGAUAUAAAAUUGCUGGUGAGACCAUAGAGUAAGGGGAAAAAGUCUAUUUAGAGCUAGGAAUGGGCUUGCGAUGAUUCGUGAGUGUGUGCCAGGCUCCGAUUGCCAUUCUGACUGGGUUUUGGGGUGCUUUCUCUGUCAGUGUGAGGCUUGGGUGUUCCCUGUUUUAAAGCUAGAAUUGUCACAGCCUGGCCAUUUUCUGUUCCAGCUUAGAGGUUUUUUGUUGUUGUUGUUGUUGUUUGCUUGUUUUGUUUUUUCUUUCUCUUUUUUCUUUCCUUCUCUCUUUUUCUUUUUUCCUGAAUGAGUGUCCUUUGUGUAACCCCAGUAAUUCAGAAAUCCUGCAGUCAGAGGGACUGCCCUGUCACGUGACUUAGGUAGUAGGUCCUGUCUGUGAUUGGUCAGCAGCUAAUUGGCAGGUCCCUAUAAAAGGUCCGGAGCAGUCCUUGGGCCACUCUCUUACUGGGCUGCUGCUCUGCAGGGGCCAGAUCUUGAGUGCCUGGUGAUUGAUUCAACCACAUGUGAUAGAUGACCAAGUGACUGCUUCCUUGGGGUCGGCACAUCAGUGGAAGACAUAGAUUGGUGGUGGCUGGCUUGAUCCCACUCUGGCAUCCUGAACCGGAAUUCAAUGCAGACAACUCUUUAGAAAGCUUGUGUAGGAAAAGUGCUUCAAUGUGGUCUGGAAACACAAAGGCAUUCUAUAAUCAGAUUUAUCAAGCUGUGAAGAGGGAGUUGUAGCGAACGGAAGCAGCAGCAUUCUGCCACCAGGAAUUACUGCUUUUUCCAGAAUUGAGUUCACUUCAGAAGACUGAGUCACCCAGCUGCUGGAAUGUUCUUGGUGCCCUCAAUGGCUCAGUAGUCAGUGUAGAUCCUGUGUUUUGUAAUCAGUAGCUACAUCUGGCUACUGGGUCUCUGAUGGUAUCUUCUAGUUCCUGUUCCUGUGUCCCAAACUAGCUUAUUCGUUAGUCCUUAACAUUUAAACCAUUACCUUGAUUUACACAGUAUUUGAGAAGCACAAAGGUUUUAAGAAUGCGAAGGUAUAUUUGACUUAAACACCACAGUGCGGGUAAUGGAAGGAAUGACUUCUUUUCCUCUGUCUUCCUCCAUGUGCGAUGUAUCAUUUAGUCAUAAAACCAUUCAUCUUGCUACCUAACUGUAUCUACUGUCUCUCUCAGUUAUCAGUUUACCUAUUUACAUAUACUAUCGGUCUUAAUGUUUCUCUAUAUUUGUUAUCUAUCCAUAAUCAAUCAAUCUAUCUAUCUAUCAAUCUGCCAUUUGGCCAAUAACCCAUCUGCCUAGCUUACAAAGCCAUUUUCCUGUAUGCAUGCAUUUAUCCAUGCGUUUUGGUGUUUUUUUUUUCCAUCCUUUUACUUCCAGAUGACACUCAAAAUAAUGUGGUUGUUAAAUAAUGCCAACUUAACAGUAUGACCGUUUAAAGAAACUUGUAGUAGAUAAGUCCCUGCUGUGGAUUCUGACUUGAGGAUUGCCUUUUAACUGUGGCAGAGAAGAUAAAUAACAGAAACCCUGAGUGCAGAAGAUAAACAUUGAAAUUAUAUGUGGGAAGGCCUGGCCGGCCCAUUGUCCAGGUCUGGGCAUGAACCUGGCAUACAAUGUAGAUAUCUGUGUUUAUUAGGCAACAGCUACAUUGUCUGCUGGGUUUCAGGCUACCUGGAAACAUGUUCUCCAUGGCCCCCUCAACAAGAUUCACAUGUGCUGUUUUGGACUAACUGUUUUCCAGGGGUCAGAAACAACCACUCAGCUUUAUCUUUGGGACAGAGUACGGAGAAAGGGCUGCACGAGAACUGAUCAACUUCACAGUGAAUGAUCUUAUUAUUAGUUAAUAGAAGAGGAUCUCACCUACCAGUCUAGGAAACUGAAUGAAUCAGAGAUGAGGUGUAAUGCCAUCCUUUUCUCUUCAGACCAAACUUCCAUCCUGUUCAUGUUGAGCAGAAUAAGCCAGAAGGAGGACCAUUAUUGGAUUAUUGGAUGAUCUCACUCAUGGAUGACAUCUAAGAAACAACACAAAGGACAUUGCAGUAUGGUGAAAUCCCAGUGGCCUGUAGUCUAUUAUAGCAGAUUUGGAGACUGAGAAGGUAGAAGGCAAAAGCACUAAGGAAAGCUUGAAUGAUCUAAGUUUCUAGUUUAUAAGUAUUGAUACUGUGCGAAAAUUAUAUGGGCCUGGUCAUGCAGUCUUGCUACCUCCCCAUUGUUCCUUUGGCUCACCACACAUCUGCAGGAACUCAGUGUAUUUUGGUUCUCUCUUAGCUACAACUCUGUAACUUUUAUGAAUGACUGUUGAUCUCACCAGAGUCUAUAUUCUGUCCCAAUUUCCCACCCUAUUAAACUCUGAAAUUUAGCUGGCUGGGAUUUGUCUUUGAACCACUCUUGACAAUUUUGUGUGAAAUCAUAGGAAGAAUAGCUUUUAGUUAAAACAGGAAUGCUCAAAAGAAUAAAGCGUACAUUUUCAGAAGAAGAGAAUGAAAAUAGCUUUGAAUUUUUCACAUUAUGUUUGUUGCCUUUGUCUUCCUGGUAAAUUGGUUUAGUUCCUUAGACAUUAAGCAGUGUAAUUUGUUCAGUUCUCAAUAAUAAAUGAUUACAACUUUAUACAGAAAAGUGACAAACUGAGGUUUUUAGUAAGGAAUGUUGUAUUUUAAAUUAAUAUGAAUUAACAGAUAUAAACCACAAAGUGAAUAAAGCAAUGUAAGCAUGAUGAAUGUUACAGUCAAUUGUAAAUGACAGGAUGCAUUCUUGUUAUCCAUGCUGUACUCUGUAAAAUAAAGCUACUGAUUGGAAUCUUUUGAAA